AGUGAACGCUGGCGGCAGGCCUAACACAUGCAAGUCGAACGGCAGCACAGCAGUAGCAAUACUGUGGGUGGCGAGUGGCGGACGGGUGAGUAAUGCAUGGGGAGCUGCCCAGUCGAGGGGGAUAACAACUGGAAACGGUUGCUAAUACCGCAUACGCCCUAAGGGGGAAAGGUGGGGAACUUCGGUCCUACCGCGAUUGGAUGCGCCCAUGUGGGAUUAGCUAGUUGGUGAGGUAACGGCUCACCAAGGCGACGAUCUCUAGCUGGUCUGAGAGGAUGACCGGCCACACGGGAACUGGGACACGGUCCAGACUCCUACGGGAGGCAGCAGUGGGGAAUAUUGCACAAUGGGGGAAACCCUGAUGCAGCCAUGCCGCGUGUGUGAAGAAGGCCUUCGGGUUGUAAAGCACUUUCAGUCAGGAGGAAGGGGUGAUGGCUAAUAUCCAUCAUCAUUGACGUUACUGACAGAAGAAGCACCGGCUAACUCCGUGCCAGCAGCCGCGGUAA
rnacentral:rRNA from 1 species